UAAAUAUGAUCUAAUAAUCUUUAUUUUAUCAUCCUAUUUAAUGUGUUUUAAUGUGUUUCACAGGUUAUAACAGGAGAUUGUGCCGCUCAGAUCUGAUUGUUCCCUAUAAAGACGUGUGGAUUCAGAAACUGUGAGUGAACUCUUUAUCUAAAUAACAUCUUUAGGUUUUGGUCAAACUCAACAAAUAUUUCAGUGAGAGUUUGGGUGAAAUGUGUUUAAUCGUCAUGAAAUGUAAUGUUUUCUUUGUUGAAUUAUGCCUCAGUCGGUUUAUUUUAUUCUCCGUCGUCUCUUUCUCUGUAUUUUAGUUGCCGUUAGAGAAACGAGAGCUGCUGAAGUGCAUUGUGGGAGUGUAAAGACGUGGAAAAACUGAACCAACCGCGUGAUAAACUGAACAACGGGAUGCCAGGAAUGAGUGCGCAGGAAGCCAGCACGGGAAAAGACUCGGUGCGCGUCUCCAAACACAAUGCAGACGCUCAGAAAAGAUCGUCCAAAGCGAGGAGCCUCACGCUGGAGGAUGAGGACUGGAUCUGGACGGCCAAUAAGAAGACGCCGCUGAUCACUGGAUCCAAUCUGACGCGCUCUGGAAGCGUUAAAGAUCUCAUAUACAGGUUCGACGGGCCGCCAACGCCGCCGCGCCUCGGCUCGCUGAAGAUCAAACAGCAAGACGUGAGCGCACGGGAUUCUGGGAAAAUGAGACAUGAAAGCAGAGAGAGAGGGAAGAACCAGAACCCGGUCUCCGGUGAACCGUCAGAACCAGAAACACAAGAAAGCUCAGAGCAGAAACGCCACAGCGCAGAGAAGAAGAAGAAGAGCGAUGACAAACAAACGUCCCGGCGCAGCAAAGACAAAGCGGCUGUCUCUGAUCCCGGUCCGCAUUCCAGCCUAUACGGCGAGAAGCAGCACAGCGGCCCUCAGUCGAAGGAGGAGCCCACCACCCCCAAAAUCCGCCCCAACCCCAAGUACCAGCUCUACCUGGGCUACAACGGCACCAGCGGCUCCAAUGGGUCAGUGGGGGACGGCGGCGGGAGCCACGGGAAUCUGCUGAGGGUCAGUUCAGUGAUCCGCGGCUCCAUGGAGUCGCUCUCAUCCCGGGACUGGGACAGCAUGUCCGACAGAACGGGCGGCUUUGAAAGUCCUCCCCGAGUUUUCAACAGUCCGUAUUCGACGCUCUCGCUGGACUACAAUCCCAUCAACAGAAUGUCUGACUUCAAGACACAGGAAGUGAUGUCACCCGCCGGCUCUGAGAUGAGUCUGUUUGGUCUGAACAGAAGCGUGAGUCCUGUUAGCAGUCCAGCUGUGAACCACCGCACACGAGUCCCCGGAUACGACAGUCUGACCCGCAGACGAGACGUGAGUCUGCGCCACAGAGAAGCAGGAAAUACAUAUUCAUCCAUAAAAUAAGCAAUCAGUUUAUAUUACAAUUAUAUGUAUGUUAACUGAAAUAAAAUAAAAUAUAAAAAAAUGUAAACUUAUUCUAUCUCAUUCUGUUUCAAAAUCUAAAGCUGAAAUAAAAAAU
rnacentral:lncRNA from 1 species